UACGUAGGGUGCAAGCGUUGUCCGGAAUUAUUGGGCGUAAAGGGCUCGUAGGCGGUUUGUCGCGUCGGGAGUGAAAACCCAGGGCUUAACCCUGGGCUGGCUUCCGAUACGGGCAGACUAGAGGUAUGCAGGGGAGAACGGAAUUCCUGGUGUAGCGGUGAAAUGCGCAGAUAUCAGGAGGAACACCGGUGGCGAAGGCGGGUCUCUGGGCCGAAACUGACGCUGAGGAGCGAAAGCGUGGGGAGCAAACAGG
rnacentral:rRNA from 1 species